UACGUAGGGUGCGAGCGUUGUCCGGAAUUAUUGGGCGUAAAGAGCUCGUAGGCGGUCUGUCACGUCGGUUGUGAAAACUUGGGGCUUAACCCUGAGCUUGCGGUCGAUACGGGCAUGACUUGAGUUCGGCAGGGGAGACUGGAAUUCCUGGUGUAGCGGUGAAAUGCGCAGAUAUCAGGAGGAACACCGGUGGCGAAGGCGGGUCUCUGGGCCGAUACUGACGCUGAGGAGCGAAAGCGUGGGGAGCGAACAGG
rnacentral:rRNA from 1 species